AAGCCCUGUAAGAGAAAAUGGAAUCAUCGUGUUUGGCAUCUCCCAAAAUGGAGCUGUGUCACAACUACAAAAUCUUAACAACUCAAGGAUCUCUCUGACUCUACUGAAGCAAUGGAAUCAUUCAGAGUUGAGGUAAGGAAGACCCUGGCAGCCCAUGUCUGAAUGGAAGCAGGACCCUGCCCGUAUCAGCCAAAGCAAGCAGUACAGUGGAAGCCACUGCAGCCAGCAGAUCUACGCAGAUUUAGGAGGAUCUCCAAACAUGCAAAGAUGUGAAUCUGAGACUCUGCCACACUAUUGCAGCAGGAAAGCUUAUUGCCCCUUUUUUUUUAUGCACUGUGAAAUAGCUAACAUAUACUUACAACGUAUCAUUCAACAUGAUACUAAGGACUAGUCGGGAUAAGAGGGAAAAAUGCAAUUCAGGGAGCCUGCUACAGCAUGGCUUACUGCUCGUGGAAAUUUUCUUUUAGGAAAAAAUGCCAGUGUGCACCGGGGAUUAUUCCACAGCAAGUGAAAAUAUUCCUUAAGAGAUCAAAACACCCAGCAAAUCUAUUCCAAGUUCUGAAACCAGAAUAGAUUUUCUAAAUGUUAAAUGCAUUAUGGUUUAUUUAUGUGAGGGUCACUGGCCAAAGCCUUGUGAUAUACCCUGCACUGCUCCCUCGCCACACUCCCAUCCCAUUAGCUGGAUAAAACUCUUCGGGAAAGUAUGUUUAUGUAACAGAAGAAUUUGAUAGAAGCUAAGCAGCUCUAAAAGUGCUUAGAAACACAUGCCAAAUAGGGAUUUAAAUAUGUGGGUCUGUCUCACCAAGUGGCUUCACCUUGAAAAAUAUGACUAGGUUUAUUGAUUAUUAUGUUUCAAUAUGAAAAAUUCACUUGUGAUUUCCAGAAAAAUCUGUUUAUUGACAAUAUUUCACCUUGAUAUUGUCUGUAUUUUUUCACUUUUGCUCUUUAUUACUAGCAAGAAAAUGGGAUCUUUAUCUCUUUAAGAGCUCAUCCGCUUCUGUUUGCUGAGGCUCAUUCUCCUCUUGAAGUCAUAAUCUGCCUGCAGUAUCACAAAUUGUUGCUGUGAGGAGGAUUAUAAUGUGAUAAAGGCGGAGGAUCACGAUUUCAGGUGGAAAAUAAAUUCUGUGUCUACAAAGAUAAUGUUACAAGGGCAGAGUCCUCAGACCAAAUCCCAAAAUGCUUACUCAUUCCUGCAAUGGGACUUUGCCAGAGCAAAUGUUCAAAUCCAGAAAAUUUCAAAAUUUGAUAAUCAAAAAUGAAGAUAAGAGUUAAAAGUGAUGUAAAAUAUGGAAGCUACUACUCCUAUGCUCAGUGCAAAAUUAGGGUGCCUGGUGAUUCCUUCUAAACGGUAAAAUGAAUAGAAGCUUUUUGGGUCAUCUGUGUUAUUUAUCCCUCAGUAUAGUCUAGAAUUAAAAACAUCAUAUUAAUACAGCAAUCAAAAUAAAAACCAUGGAAAUCACACAAAUACUUGUUUGGUAAAGACAGCACUAUUUUAGAUGAGCAGAAAAGGGUUACAAAAUGCUCAGGGAAGCACAGUACACCACCUGAGACCAAAUCACAGACGAAAAGCUGGAGAUUUUAAAAUCACAGGGAUAUGACAACGAGGUUGCUCUAACACCAUUAAGCAAUUUGUAGUUUCCAGUAUCAUAUGAAUGCUGUGUCACUGUGCAAUGAAAACCUUGUCUUGUUCUUUGUGCUGGGGGGGAGUUGCUCAUUCCCAGAACCUACUGCCUGACUCAUUUUUGUGCCUGUAAAAUUCUGAAACUAGGCAAACCAAACAAAACUUCCAACAUGUAUUUUUAGAAAACCUGUCUUCCAAAUACCAAAAGAGCUGCACAAAGAUUUACACUAAAGUAAUCUUCCUUAAAGAAACAACUCAUAUGACCAUCAGAACCAGUUUUAGACAUAUCAGAGGAAGACACGAGGCCAAUUGAACCUGGAAUUAUCUUCUCUGCAAAAGCAUUCAUGUGCAUUCUUCCAGUUAGAGUCUGUUGGAAUCCAGAAAGAACGAUCUUCCUAAUCAAAGUCUACAGCAAACAGGAGUGGAGUGCUGUCUCUGGAGGCUGUUGCAGAGCCAAAGGCUAGUUCACCUGGUCUCAAGUGAGCUUUUCUGUAUGAGGAAGCAGGCUGGGGAGACCAGUCUUUUUUAGUGGAAAUUCAUCCUUUUAAAUCUUCUGAGUGUUGGGGGGGUUUGGUUUGUGGGUUUUUUUGGUUGGUUGGUUGGUUUUUUGGUUGUUUGUCAUUGUUGGUUCUUCUGUUUUUUUUCCUCUUGAAUGGGGUGUGAUAAUAUUGAAAGAACUUAUUUUGUCUGUCUUUAUAUACAAAUUAAUGAUGAAUGUUGCCAGCCUGGUCAUGGAUGCCAGAGCACACUAUGUAAAAUUACUUUCACAAUAAGGUGCUCUGUAGAAAAUAUCUUAUCCAGCCAAGUUUUAACUUCACCCCUCUGAUUCAGUGACUAAUUUCUUGUCUAUAGAAACAUGUGUGGGUUUUCUCUGGCCAAAGUUCAGCAGACAUCCCCUCCCCAGGUUACCCUUUGAGCCACCAAAACCAGCAGAUGAGAUUAACCACUCCCUCACAGCACCUGUUUCUCUCCAUUGGCCAUACCCAGAGCCAGACUGAUCACUUCACUCACACACAUGCAUACUGUGAGUAUCCAAAUUAAAUAGGAUGGAACAGGCCCAUGGUGGCUAGGUUUUGGUCUGCCUCCAAUCUGGUAUUCAUCAUUCCAUAUUUUAUCACCAGACUUCCUUUUAUUUUUCUCCUUCUACAUGAAAUUAUUCUGGUCUCUUCCAUCACUUUUUUUUUUUUCCUGUGAGAGUUUCACAUUUCCUCAUUCACGGAUAUCACUCUCGAUGGAUUCCCAUAAUUCAGUACAGUACUCUUAUAAAUUUUAAUACGGAUAUAUAUAACAGUAGCACAUGUUUUUAUAUUCUGUUUAAACAUUUCCCUCCCCAUCUCCUUUCCAGUGAGUCUACACAUCUGAAAGUAGUCCUCACUGAACCGUUAAAAGUCAUUCAAAAGACCCUUUCUGAAGAUCAUAAACAUUAAGAAUGUGGCUAAAGACUUUUCUCUGUAAUAUACUCAACCUUUCAUUGGUUAACAACAUAAUUUGGCCCAUUUCUUCAAUAUAGUCUGGUAUUUGAUUACCAAAUAUGUUAUACUCUGCUAUCUUUGUUGUGUUUUUCCUUAUUCUCAUUCCUAAUCCAUUCGUCAUAAAAAUGGGAAUUUGAAAUAUCCUUAAAAACUUGUCUAGCUUUUGCUUUUAUUUAAAUAACAAAAUAUUUAUUAUUAAAUAAAAAAAAUCUGUAAAAUAAUAUUUUACAGAUAAGAACAUGUUGAAUAAUGUAUUGAACUUUUUCUUUCACUGUCUUAGUUUUUCUGUAUUUAUUUUUAAUUCUUUGUCUGGUACUUUAUUAGCACCAGAUGAAUACAUCAGUGCUACCCCAUGUGCAUUAUUGCUUUAGUGAUACAAAUCUCUGACUCUUCCAUUCUUUCAAUGUGCUAUUGUAUUAAUUCACCAGAUCCUUCUCCUCUCCAUUUUAGUUUCUACUAGGCUACUGCCUUCAUCAUACGUUAUCUUUAUUUUUAUGCUUGAUAAGAAGCCAUAUUCAGUUUUCAUUUUUUCCAGUGUAUAAGUAUUUUAUGUAGAAUACAUUGGUUGUCAGAAUUCUGAUGUUGGAACCCAGCCUUUCCAGCCAGUGUGGGUUUUUAGAGUCAGUAAGCAUUAACAUCCAUAGAGGUAAAAGGGCAUUAUCUGACAUCCAGCUGAAGUCAACAAAAAUCUUUGCAUUAACUUCAGUGGGCACUGGACUGCAGCCCAGCUUACCUUCUGGCAGAACUUCAGUAAAUCACAGAGAAAGUGCUAGCUAGCAUUAGGCCAUAAUUCAGUGACAGCAGAACUCAAGUUCUGCUUUAAAGGCCUUUACUCAAAGAUAUUUGAGUAAUUCCUGUAGAUGAAGGUGCACCAAAAAAUAUCAAAGCCAGAAGAAGCUUAGAUAGGAUAGCGAGAUUUGUGUUCUAGCUUUUAAGGCUUCUGACAGUGGUUGUAUGUGCAUGAGACUUGUCAUCUGUUACCAGUGUCAACUAAUGGCGUCAAGAAAUAGUCUUCAUAUUGUCAGUUACCACCUGUUUAAAUCUUGGAAACUUUCAUGUCUACGCAACCCACAGCAUCUAAGGGCCUGCAGACAUUACUAUGUGUAGCAUCAAACCCUUCUCAAGAUGCUGGCAUUCUCAGCUGUUCUACAGAUAGGCUGAAAUAUAAUUAAACCCUAUAGCUGGAGUACCUCCUUCAACUAAAAUGGCUAAAAGGUUUACAUUAAAUUACUUUAUUAUAUGAAAUUCCCCUGCACACUGAAAGACAAAAAUUUGAGAUUCUUUCUGCUACAUGGAAAAACAUAUAUGUGUGUGUGUAUAUAUAUGCACAUAUCUAUGCAUCUGAAUUGUUAAAACAAUUGUUCUAAAUUAAAUUGUGGCCAAGAUUGCAUUAUUUCCCUCCUUCCUUUUCCAUAGAGAUUUCCAUCCCAAAUAUCAUCAGUUUACAAAGAACCAAAGAAAACCCCACAGCAUUUAUUUAACUGCCAGUUCUGUAAGUUCCACCCAAAAUCCAAGAUUCCAGCUAAGUUCUCUGAGAUAUUUAUAGCAAAGAUUUCUAAGUAAUGUAACAUGUAAGUUUUCUAUCACAGGAAGAUUACCUACACUCCCUGAGUGUAUUACUUCACUAACACCCAAGGAGGAUGCAACUGUAUUUGCUCUAUUUCGAUUCUAUCAGAACUAAAAAAAAUAGACUGCAACCUUUUUUUUGUGUGGUUUUCUUGAUAAUUUUUUAUAAUCUUAAAAAGGGUUACUCCUAUAAAGAUCUGAAUCAGGAUUUAAAACAUAAAAUACAAGAUUUUACAUUCAAUUUCUCAUUCCACUCCCUCAUCAGCAAGCUUUCACUGAUGCUUCUUUGCAUGCCUUAUGUUUAUUUUAGGAGAUAUUAUUCUUAUCUUAUAAAAUCUAAACUCUAAGCAGUGCUGGAACCAUUUCUCAGAUAUUGAAGACUGUGAUUUGGCACAUGCAAUAUUCCAAGAUAAGUCCACACGUUCAAAGGCAUUUAAAGCAAUCGCUUUUUACAUAACCUGAACAAGAUUACUUUCCCAACUGAAUUCAUGAAAUAGAACAUCAAUAAUCUGCUUUCCAGUUCUUAACCAGCCACCCACCAUGUAAAUACAUAGGGGCCCCUGUAUUGAGGUAUUUAGGUGCCCCUAGGUUUAAGUGUGAAUUUAGAAUACAAGGUCUAAUAACCCAUGCUAAAUGACACUGCUGUUUAACAUGACACGUUUGGUUUUUCCUAUCAUAAGGUCAGGAUUUCUAUCAAAGCGCAGGUAAAUUGUAACAUUAGGAAAAUCUGAUGAUCUGCAACCCCAAAUGGCACACCCAGUCAUGCCUUCAGAUACUUUUUAACUGCUCUUUCCUGACUAAAGCUGUCAGCCACAGAGCCUGUUCUCCAAGCAGCCCUAUCGUUCUCUGACAAGAAGGCUUACAGCUCUCCACUGCAUCUUUGCGAUAGCUUGUCCUAGUUCCUUCCCUGUUACCUCAGGGCACUGCAAGCCUCCCUAGGAAGGGAACAAUCAUUUAAGAACAAAAAAAUCAGUGUACUUCUUUAUCAGUGGGGUCUGCAAAGGAAGGUUUAAUUUAAAAUAUACUAGCACAUUCCCCUAGCAUGUCCCCUUUCCAGUCCUGCUUCCUCUGUUUUCCAUCUCUUCAUGUCUCCUCAUCUUGGGCAGUGUCCAGUAUAUACCAAAGACUUGCCAGAAAAAAUUAGCUUUAAAUAUUAAAAAUACAGUAAGAAGCUGAAUAAGAAAUAACAGAGAUUGCUAAACCAUAGCAGUGAUGCAAAACAUCUAAUACGAAGAGAUUACUCUCUUUUGUCCAGUGUGUUUGUUUGAAACACAAACUGGUAAGAGAAUAUAUCCACCACAGCUUGUUUAGAUGUGUCUGUACCUUUUAAAUGAUAAAAUACAUGCAUAACUGAUGAGAGACUUCACAGGAAUAUAUUAUAAAAACACAACUAGGCUAGAAUUCAGGUAUCUAUUAAGAUAACUGGAUUCAGAUACCAACAACAUACCUGAACAACUCUUUGUUCCCUGUUAUCACCAAUAAAAAAUGUAGUUGACACAUUCAGUGAGGCUUGAAGAACCAUUCAGCACAUCCUGAAGCAGACAUCAACACUAGGUCAGUGAGCAGUUCUAUAGACUAUAAUCUGUAAAUACCUACAGUGAGCUUGUUGGGCUGCAUAAGGGGAUGCUGUUUUUACAGACUCACUUUUCAGCUCCUACCUUCACAUGAAGGAAGGUAGUGGAGGCAGAUCAAAAGAGAUCUUGGUUGUAUCAUUUUGUUCUUUCUAGAACAAGGAAGAAGGAUAAAUACAAUACCUCAGCCUGACACGAUUAUUUAUUUCAGUAUAAUUUGUGCUAUCAAUGUAUAUAAUCAUCAAUUAAGCCUGUAGGAUCUGUGUUUCACUUCCAGUCUGCUCUACUAUCUCCCCACCAUCCUGAAGCAGAGUGCCAUAUUUAAACAGCUGAGUGGACAGGGGAGAUAAUGACAAUGGCACAACUUGCAAGAAAAGUGUCUUUGCCCAAACAUCAAGUGCAGUUAGUUUCUGUAGCUGAUACGGUGUUUUCACACUUCAGCCAGAGCUCAUGUUUCAUUCCCACUGAUGAGUCAGGAACAGCAAAGCUCUGACUCUCCUUGGUGCAAGGCAGUAGGGCACAAGGGAGCCCAGCAGGGGCUCGGGCACUUUGGGUACAAGUAUCCAGAUAACAAGUACCCAGCCUCGCUGCUGAACCAGAAGCACGAGGAACAAGCUCAAAACCAAGGCAGCUUUGCCAACACUAAGCCAGGAUCAGCUGUCUGCACUGUGAGCCUGACAUGCUAAAGCAUCUCUGCCACACAGUGCGGGUCCUUUCCCUGGGAGGCUGCAGGAUUCCACGUGCCACUCUCCAGAGCCCGAGACCCCUCCAGGCUGCAGAGCACGUGGAGCAGCAGGGUGAGCGGCUGCAGCUCUGCCUGGUGUCCUCUCAUGUCUGUCAUGGCCAGGCCCCAAAAAGCCAGCUCAGCUGAAUCAGAUCCAGCAUGAAAACAUCAAGGUCACUUCACCCUGUGCUCUGCACAUUAUUCCAUAGCAUAUCAAAGGUGUCUCUACUUAAAACAGUCUGGGAAUGGAAGAGAGUGUGAGUGAGGUUUCCAUGCCCAAGGAAAACACGCGUAACAGCCCUGGAGCAGCCACAACACCAAGGGUCAUACUACCCUGUUCAUGCAGUCCCUUCUUACAUUCAAUACCCUCAGUCUAAAGAGCUAAAUUGUUUCUGAAGGAAGAUCCACAACCUGAUCUGUCACCCAAUCUAACUACAAUAACUGAGAAAUCAGUGCAGAUGAUUAAGCCUUUCUGAGUAGUGUGUCAUCUAUGGAGCCCUGCAUGAUCCUUUCUGUCUGUGUAAGAACAGUUUCUACAGUGUGGUAAUACAUGUGCUCACUGCAAGUAUGACCUCAGCUAUUUUAAUUCACAGUUUCAGUCUGAGGUUUGUUUAGGGCAAAAGACAGUAGCUAGAAGUUCCUGUUCUGUACAUGUGUACAAUGUGCCUGUUAACAGGCAGAUGGCCACAAGCUGUGCUCCCCCUGUGUCCCCUUGAAAUCAGGGUUCUGCUUGUGUGUACAGAGAGUGUGCACAGGGCACACAGCACAAAUGAACUGCUGCUCAUCUAAAACCCACAAUUCCAGAGACAGCAGUAGAUACUGAGAAAUGUGGAUAUCUAAAUACUCACAUGAUUGCCAUGAGGUUGUUGGCAAGAGUGUAUAUUAAUGGCAAACUAAAGAGUAAGAACUUUUAUGAGGUAGUGUAUCUUUAUGCAGUGGUUUUCCCGGUCCUGCUAGAGAACUAUGAGGAUGUGUUCACUUAUAAAGCAGGUCCCAGGACCAUGCCUGACCACUGAUGUGGACCAUAACACAAUGUCAGUACUUUCUUAGGUGAUUGGUGAAGCUCAGAGGCAAUUCCCUCGGCAUUUCAAAGUUCUGCAGACCAUCAGAAUCCAGAGCAGAGAUGCAGACAACCAGAAGGCUAUAUAAAUACAUCAGGCAUUUGUACACAUUGUAGUACAGAGUAAAAGUCCCCAAGUUAGCUUCUCUGGAGUUAGUUUAGCCCAGCACUCGAGCAGUCUGGCUGCAGCAAGUGGACAAAUGCCACGUAUUUGGUGAUACAGCUGCAGAACAGGCUGUUCCUCAGCACAGACCAAUGCUUAUGGGCUGUCUAAAGGCAGCACUGCUGUGACUAAAGCUGACAAAGAGUGAUGGACAUAUAACAUAUUGUAAAUCAAAUCUCAGUGAUACCUACUUUGCCAUGUGACAGCCCAUGUGGCACUCUCUGUCUGGGCCACAUUAUUUGAUAUGUUAUGAAAAAUGGACAGAACGGUUUGUCCUUAUACAGUGUAACCUGUAUUUAUAGCUCUCCAUUCAUUCCUAUAUGUAAGUGCUCUCAUACAGCUAAGAAAACAAUUUAUUUUUUCUCAGAUGUAUUUUCCUUUGAACCUGUUCCUUAACUCUUAGACAGCUAAUGGAAAAAUAGUUUAAACAUCCUGAGGGAAAUCAUGUCAAACACAAAGGUAAAAUAUUCUCAGGCUGAUUCAACUCUGUAAAAACAA